rnacentral:rRNA from 1 species
CCCUUAGAUGUCCUGGGCCGCACGCGUGCUACACUGACGCCUACAGCGAGUACUUCCCAGCCCCGAGAGGCGGCUGGUAAUCAGCAAUAGGCGUCGUGAUGGGGAUAGAUCUUUGGAAUUAUGGAUCUUGAACGAGGAAUGCCUAGUAAGCGCAGGUCAUUAGCCUGCGCUGAUUACGUCCCUGCCCUUUGUACACACCGCCCGUCGCUACUACCGAUUUCGAGUGGUCCGGUGAAUAAUUCGGACUGCAGCAGUGUUCAGUUCCUGAACGUUGCAGCGGAAAGUUUAGUGAACCUUAUCACUUAGAGGAAGGAGAAGUCGUAACA